AAUACGUUCCCGGGCCUUGUACACACCGCCCGUCACACCAUGGGAGUGGGUUGCAAAAGAAGUAGGUAGCUUAACCUUCGGGAGGGCGCUUACCACUUUGUGAUUCAUGACUGGGGUGAAGUCGUAACAAGGUAACCGUAGGGGGAACCUGCGGUUGGAUCACCUCCUUACCUAAGAGA
rnacentral:rRNA from 1 species